UACGUAGGGUGCAAGCGUUAAUCGGAAUUACUGGGCGUAAAGCGUGCGCAGGCGGUUUUGUAAGCCAGAUGUGAAAUCCCCGGGCUUAACCUGGGAAUGGCAUUUGGGACUGCAAGGCUUGGAGUGCGGCAGAGGAGACGUGGAAUUCCUGGUGUAGCAGUGAAAUGCGUAGAUAUCAGGAGGAACACCGAUGGCGAAGGCAGGUCUCUGGGCUGACACUGACGCUCAUGC
rnacentral:rRNA from 1 species